UACGGAAGGGGCAAGCGUUGUUCGGAAUCAUUGGGCGUAAAGGGCGCGUAGGUGGUUCUGUAUGUCUACCGUGAAAGCGUACGGCUCAACCGUAUUUUGUCGGUAGAAACUGCAGGACUUGAGGCUGGGAGGGGCUGGUGGAAUUCCCUGUGGUAGCGUGAAAUGCGUAGAGAGUGGGGGAGAACACUCGUGGCGAAGGCGGCCAGCUAGACCAGUUCUGACACUGAGGCGCGACAGCGUGGGGAGCAAACAGG
rnacentral:rRNA from 1 species